rnacentral:lncRNA from 1 species
UACGACCAAGUGAAGAUAUCGACAUAUUCUCGUAGCAAUUCAAUCAACCCCUUCUUAACAGAUUCUUCCAGGAGUGCCCCAAUCUUUACUUCUCGCACACAAUCCUCAGACCCCAAGUUGACUGUUUCCAGAUUCUCAAUAUAUCGACAUAUUCUCGUAGCAAUUCAAUCAACCCCUUCUUAACAGAUUCUUCCAGGAGUGCCCCAAUCUUUACUUCUCGCACA